UACGUAGGUGGCAAGCGUUGUCCGGAUUUACUGGGCGUAAAGGAUGCGUAGGCGGAUAUUUAAGUCAGAUGUGAAAUUCCCGAGCUUAACUUGGGAGCUGCAUUUGAAACUGGGUAUCUAGAGUGUGGGAGAGGAAAGUGGAAUUCCUAGUGUAGCGGUGAAAUGCAUAGAGAUUAGGAAGAACCCCAGUGGCGAAGGCGACUUUCUGGACCAUAACUGACGCUGAGGCAUGAAAGCGUGGGGAGCAAACAGG
rnacentral:rRNA from 1 species